rnacentral:rRNA from 1 species
UCCAGACUCCUACGGGAGGCAGCAGUGGGGAAUCUUCCGCAAUGGGCGCAAGCCUGACCCAGCAACGCCGCGUGAAGGAAGAAGGCUUUCGGGUUGUAAACUUCUUUUGACAGGGAAGAGCAGAAGACGGUACCUGUCGAAUAAGCCACGGCUAACUACGUGCCAGCAGCCGCGGUAAUACGUAGGUGGCAAGCGUUGUCCGGAUUUACUGGGUGUAAAGGGCGUGUAGCCGGGCUUACAAGUCAGAUGUGAAAUCCGGGGGCUCAACCCCCGAACUGCAUUUGAAACUGUAGGUCUUGAGUAUCGGAGAGGCAGGCGGAAUUCCUAGUGUAGCGGUGAAAUGCGUAGAUAUUAGGAGGAACACCAGUGGCGAAGGCGGCCUGCUGGACGACAACUGACGGUGAGGCGCGAAAGCGUGGGGAGCAAACAGGAUUAGAUACCCUCGUAA